rnacentral:rRNA from 1 species
CUCGUUGGUGACCAGCGGAGGGAUCAUUACCGAGUUUACAACUCCCAAACCCCUGUGAACAUACCACUUGUUGCCUCGGCGGAUCAGCCCGCUCCCGGUAAAACGGGACGGCCCGCCAGAGGACCCCUAAACUCUGUUUCUAUAUGUAACUUCUGAGUAAAACCAUAAAUAAAUCAAAACUUUCAACAACGGAUCUCUUGGUUCUGGCAUCGAUGAAGAACGCAGCAAAAUGCGAUAAGUAAUGUGAAUUGCAGAAUUCAGUGAAUCAUCGAAUCUUUGAACGCACAUUGCGCCCGCCAGUAUUCUGGCGGGCAUGCCUGUUCGAGCGUCAUUUCAACCCUCAAGCACAGCUUGGUGUUGGGACUCGCGUUAAUUCGCGUUCCUCAAAUUGAUUGGCGGUCACGUCGAGCUUCCAUAGCGUAGUAGUAAAACCCUCGUUACUGGUAAUCGUCGCGGCCACGCCGUUAAACCCCAACUUCUGAAUGUUGACCUCGGAUCAGGUAGGAAUACCCGCUGAACUUAAGCAUAUAA